rnacentral:lncRNA from 1 species
GCUGUGUGCUGCGUCCUUCCGCUCUUCCUUGCUUCCGUUUAUGUCUCUUUAGUUUUUCGCCCUCUCUUUAAACCACAGACGCCAAAUGAUACGGCAACAGACACUACAUUCCCCAGCGGCUGCUGCCACAGCCCUCUUGUAGCUUCUUCGUUUUCUGUUUGUUUCUAGCUGUCCUUUGCUCCUAUUUCCCUUUGUGUUUGGGCCAUAAUUUUAAAUUAAUUUUUAUUAUGGGUAUAUGUUGCCAAAGCCAGAUUUUUAUAAGGCAAAAUAAAUUAAGAAUUUAAACAGUUAAAGCCAGUGUCUCAAAAUGUCAGCAUUAAGACAGUGAGGGAGACAACAGCUGGGUGUGAACCAGAAGCACUCAUUGCCAAACAGUUGCUAACUGAACUGCUCCCUCUCACGGUCCGUUCUUUUCUUCCCCUCAGUGUCAGUGCCAGUGUCCAGAUGACCAGUGUAGAAAAGUACCCUGUGUGCUUUGUCAUGAGCUCUGCUUAUAUCUCUUUAUUGGCACUAGUUUUAUUAGCUCUUUAUGUUCUUUAAGUUUAAGGGAAUCUGCCAAGAACACUAGUUGAUAGUAUUAUCCUGAAACCUUUUAUUUGGGGAGCAAAUAGUGAGCUGGCUUUACCACCUUCAGGAUCUUGAAUUGGUCACUUGAACUUAAGGAAGACUUGUGAAUUUAUUCAAAAGUCACCGCUCAGUGUUCUGUCAAGCAUGUAUUUUUGUGACGAUCAUACUAGGAGAGAUGUUUGGAAUUCUCCAUGUGCAAUUUGUCAGCAGAUGCAAACCAUGCCGAGCAUAUAUGAGUGAGCCUGUCAAGCAGCCUGCAUCAGUCAGUAUGUGAUUUAAGUAGAUGGUGAGCGCUCUAAGGCUGCGGGGAAGUUUAGCCUGAUCUGGUCUCAUUAGAGCUUGGCACUAAUCUCAACUUCCAUGUAAAUCACCUUUCUUGAAUAGCAAAGCUGGGAGAGGGAACAGCUCACUGUAUGAGCACUGAAACUGCUGACUGUAGUCAAGUGUUCUCAUGUGUUACUCCCCGGCUUUUCUAUCCCUUGCUCUAGAAAGCCCCUGUAAUUUAAUUAACAGACUGCCUGUAGGUACAGUGCAAUUACAAAUGCUCUGAUCGUUGUACAUACAUCUCUCUUGAUAUUGCAACAUCCAUACUGGCUUUUAAUCAUUAAUGUUUUGGCAGAUUGAAUGUGCUGUAUUGAUAUGUAUCUAUGUAAUUGUAUUGUAUGUCUUAUAGCUAAUUCACAUUUUGAAUAAUGUUAUUUUAUUUACUUUUUUAAGAGAGGAGAAUGUAAAUUUGUCAGUUUAUUUCUGACUAGGGAUAUUUUUUUCCAUUUAGAAAAGAAGAAAAAAAAAAAAAAAACCCUUACUAUCGUACAGAGCGGUACUAGCAUUGUGCUGUCUAAAAUCAUUUGCACAUUCCUGAGUAGAGGUGUGCUGACCUAAGACCCAAAGGUAAUUUCAUAGCAAACACACAACAUCCGUCAGAGCUUUUAUACAAACACGGAGACCAACUUUGUAGACCUUUUGCCAUUUGACCUGGGGUUGGAAUAUGAGCUUUUAUACGAUUCAUAUUCUUAUUUGGCAAAUGCACAGUUUAGCAUUACCUCUCUGAUGGCCUUUAUUAGAAAGGCAGUUUUAGAAGCUAUUGUGAUCCACUAAGGAAAUGUUUUAUCAGCUAGAGACCACUGCUUGCCUGAAAGGGCAACCUUAAAUUUGGUGCAGCAAAAAAAAACAAAAACAAAAAAAAAAAAUAACAAAUAAAACAAAAACAAAAAACAAA